rnacentral:tRNA from 3 species
GCCGCCAUCGUCUAGUGGCUAGGACGUCUCCCUCUCACGGAGGCAACCGGGGUUCAAUUCCCCGUGGCGGUACCA